AUUGAACGCUGGCGGCAUGCCUUACACAUGCAAGUCGAACGGCAGCACGGGAGCAAUCCUGGUGGCGAGUGGCGAACGGGUGAGUAAAGUAUCGGAACGUGCCCAGUCGAGGGGGAUAACGUAGCGAAAGUUACGCUAAUACCGCAUACGAUCUGUGGAUGAAAGCGGGGGAUCGCAAGACCUCGCGCGAUUGGAGCGGCCGAUAUCAGAUUAGGUAGUUGGGGGGGUAAAGGCUCACCAAGCCGACGAUCUGUAGCUGGUCUGAGAGGACGACCAGCCACACUGGGACUGAGACACGGCCCAGACUCCUACGGGAGGCAGCAGUGGGGAAUUUUGGACAAUGGGCGAAAGCCUGAUCCAGCCAUGCCGCGUGCAGGAUGAGGGCCUUCGGGUUGUAAACUGCUUUUGUACGGAACGAAAAGGUUUGGCCUAAUAAGCUGAGCUCAUGACGGUACCGUAAGAAUAAGCACCGGCUAACUACGUGCCAGCCGCCGCCGUAA
rnacentral:rRNA from 1 species